AAUAGCUGAAUGGAAAUCUGCGAGAGUCGAAGUCGUAAUCCGCGCCGCAAAAGUCGAGGCGUUAAAUUCAUGCUCGGCAUAAAGAAUCAGCGAGGCAUCCAAAGCGCGGACAUGUAGUUCAUCUGGCGGUUUGCCCAGCAAUAAGCGCAGAAAAUGAGACGCCAUGCUAGAAUCGGAAGUUUGAGUUUCGAUGCGCUGCUCAUGUUGAUGAAAGUGGUGCCAGUAAAGCAG
rnacentral:misc_RNA from 1 species